rnacentral:rRNA from 1 species
CCUACGGGAGGCAGCAGUGAGGAAUAUUGGUCAAUGGGCGCGAGCCUGAACCAGCCAAGUAGCGUGAAGGAUGACUGCCCUACGGGUUGUACACUUCUUUUAUAAAGGAAUAAAGUGAGGCACGUGUGCCUUUUUGUAUGUACUUUAUGAAUAAGGAUCGGCUAACUCCGUGCCAGCAGCCGCGGUAAUACGUAGGAUCCGCGCGUUAUCCGGAUUUAUUGGGUUUAAAGGGCGCGUAGAUGGGUUGUUAAGUCAGUUGUGAAAGUUUGCGGCUCAACCGUGAAAUUGCAAUUGAUACUGGCAGUCUUGAGUACAGUUGGGGUAGGCGGAAUUCGUGGUGUAGCGGUGAAAUGCUUAGAUAUCACGAAGAACUCCGAUUGCGAAGGCAGCUUACUAAACUGCCACUGACAUUGAUGCUCGAAAGUGUGGGUAUCAAACAGGAUUAGAUACCCGGGUAGUC